AUUCAACUUGGUUGGUUGGUUACGGUCGUGGUCAGGAAGCUUCUUUUGUCCAAAUGGCUAGAUCCUGUGAUGAGCAGUCCCAACUCUUACGCAAAGUCUAGAAUUCAGCAUUUGAUUUCAUUUUCUUUUACUUCAAUUCUCUUAAAUGUUUUUUUGUAGAUAUUUUUCUUUACGAAAAGUUUUGUUGUUUUGGAUUUGAUAUG